rnacentral:rRNA from 1 species
GAUGAACGCUGACAGAAUGCUUAACACAUGCAAGUCGAUGGGGAAGUGGGGCGUGCACCAUGGCUACCAUGUCGGACGGGUGAGUAACGCGUAAGGGACUUACCUGCAGGACUGGGAUAACAGGGGGAAACUCCUGGCAAGUCCGGAUAAUGUCAUGGAGCUGCAUGGCUUUAUGAUGCAAGGGGACGCCUGCGGAGAGGCUUGCGUACUGUUAGCUAGUUGGUGAGGUAAUGGCUCACCAAGGCGAAGAGACGUAGCCGGCCUGAGAGGGUAGACGGCCAAGAGGGCAAUGAGAGACGGCAGUGACUACUAUGGGAGGCAGCGGUGGAGAAUAAUGGAGCAUGGGCGCAUGUCUGAUGAAGGCCUUCUGUGUGUAAGAAGAAGGUUUUCGGAUAGUAAAGUGCUGUCAGAAGGCAAGAAGUAAGUGACGGUACCUGCAGAAGAAGCAACGGCUAAAUACGUG